rnacentral:rRNA from 1 species
UGGUGGAGUGAUUUGUCUGGUUAAUUCCGUUAACGAACGAGACCGCUACCUACUAUUUAAGCUAAUGAGUGAUUUUCACUGAUUAAGUUUCUUUAGAGGGACGUGCAUCCUAUUCGAUGCAGGAAGAUAGCGGCAAUAACA